CUUUUACUCCCUCCGUUCAGAAUUACUUGUCAUAAAAAUGAAUGUAUCUAUAACUAAAAUACAUUUAGAUACAUUCAUUUCUUAGACGAGUAAUUCUGAACGGAGGGAGUAGUUU
rfam:Triticum aestivum genome assembly, contig: Triticum_aestivum_CS42_TGACv1_scaffold_608446_7DL